rnacentral:rRNA from 1 species
GUGCGCAGGCGGUGAUGUAAGACCGAUGUGAAAUCCCCGGGCUUAACCUGGGAACUGCAUUGGUGACUGCAUUGCUGGAGUAUGGCAGAGGGGGGUGGAAUUCCACGUGUAGCAGUGAAAUGCGUAGAGAUGUGGAGGAACACCGAUGGCGAAGGCAGCCCCCUGGGCCAAUACUGACGCUCAUGCACGAAAGCGUGGGGAGCAAUCAGGAUUAGAUACCCUGGUAGUCCACGCCCUAAACGAUGUCAACUGGUUGUCGGGCCUUCAUUGGCUUGGUAACGUAGCUAACGCGUGAAGUUGACCGCCUGGGGAGUACGGUCGCAAGAUUAAAACUCAAAGGAAUUGACGGGGACCCGCACAAGCGGUGGAUGAUGUGGAUUAAUUCGAUGCAACGCGAAAAACCUUACCUACCCUUGACAUGUACGGAACCCUGCUGAGAGGUGGGGGUGCCCGAAAGGGAGCCGUAACACAGGUGCUGCAUGGCUGUCGUCAGCUCGUGUCGUGAGAUGUUGGGUUAAGUCCCGCAACGAGCGCAACCCCCGUCGCAUGUU